rnacentral:rRNA from 1 species
GAUGAACGCUGGCGGCGUGCCUAAUACAUGCAAGUCGAGCGAACGGACGAGAAGCUUGCUUCUCUGAUGUUAGCGGCGGACGGGUGAGUAACACGUGGAUAACCUACCUAUAAGACUGGGAUAACUUCGGGAAACCGGAGCUAAUACCGGAUAAUAUUUUGAACCGCAUGGUUCAAAAGUGAAAGACGGUCUUGCUGUUACUUAUAGCUGGAUCCGCGCUGCAUUAGCUAGUUGGUAAGGUAACGGCUUACCAAGGCAACGAUGCAUAGCCGACCUGAGAGGGUGAUCGGCCACACUGGAACUGAGACACGGUCCAGACUCCUACGGGAGGCAGCAGUAGGGAAUCUUCCGCAAUGGGCGAAAGCCUGACGGAGCAACGCCGCGUGAGUGAUGAAGGUCUUCGGAUCGUAAAACUCUGUUAUUAGGGAAGAACAUAUGUGUAAGUAACUGUGCACAUCUUGACGGUACCUAAUCAGAAAGCCACGGCUAACUACGUG